rnacentral:sRNA from 1 species
CCUGGGCGACCCCACCGACUGCCCGUUGCCUGGCCACGUCAGCAACCCGCUCGCCGCCGGAUCGCCCGAUGU